rnacentral:lncRNA from 1 species
AAUUUCCAGGAGUAGGAGAGGUGGAAUUGGAGAAUUUCCGGUAGGAAGAUAUGGAGGAUACCCUGGUGGCGGAUAUGGUGGAUACCCCGGUGGUCGUGGAUAUUACAGAGGUUAUCCAAGAGGCGGAUAUGGUGGAUACCUUGGUGGCGGAUAUGGUGGAUACCCCGUUGGUCGUGGAUAUUACAGAGGUUAUCCAAGAGGCGGAUACGGUGGAUACGGUGGCUAUGGCGGUGGCCGUGGAGGUUAUCCUAGAGGAGAUUUGUAUGGAGUGUCGCCUCGCAACUAAUUACUUUACGAAGGAAU